UAAGCUGUGUGUGUGGUGGUGGUGGUGGUGGGGGUGGGGGGUAUUUUGUUGCUCCGCUCAGACAGGAAGCCCAUCAGCUGCUGCUUCCGGUUUUGAUGUUUAUCCAGGUGUACUCGGUCAGAAACAGAUCGUGGCCCCGCCCCCUCAGAGAGGAUCAGAGGAGACCCAGACAUGAAAGGAAAUGUACCGAGAGCCGCCUUAAAGCCAAAACAGGUGAAACUGUUCCUAAAAGAAGCUUUCAGAGCUUCAGCAGACGUGUUCUCUUCAGUCUCACUUUCUCCCAAUGAUCUUCACUUUUACCGUCCACUACUCUGAGGUCAAAGGUUACAAAUGUGCCGCCAAACCAGCCAAUCAGAGACAAGAGAACUCAAGGUUGGUUUCAUUUCCAACUUAAGGCGUUGUUUUUUUAAUUUUGUAAAUGUUUGCAUUUUAGGGAAUUUUUAUUUCAAAGCUGUGAGUUUUGUUCUGAGUUUAGUGGAAAAAUACGACUUCAUGACAGCUCUCUGCUCUAACUGGUUCUGUCAGCCAGUCGGGUUCCUGGACUGCAAACGAGUCCGGGACGGCAGGAAGACUGUGGCCCAAAUGAGGCCGGAGGACAGCGACCUCUACAACUGAAGAGAUCAGAAACGAACUAAGCAGAUCGGAUCCCCUGACCUGGACCACCUCUGAUCACUGAACGGAGCGAAUCCCAGCAGACAAAACAACCGAAAUCCUGCGGCUCAGACAGACAAAGUCACGACAAACACUUUUUUAACCACCUGCAACUUCUAAUAUUCAAACAUGGGGAAACGAAUUUCAAAACAUUUAGAUGUAAGAAGAUCACUGAUCUGUAGUAGAAAUAUUCAAAGAACAACUCCUGUAAUCCAUGAAAGCUGUUUUGUCCUUGAUUCUCUGUCUUUUUGGUUUUCCUGUUUUCAGCACUCAGGGCGUCUAAAGGAGGUCAAAGUGUUGAACCGUGUGGAGACCUGGUGACUUGAUCUGCUUCGUCCUGUGCAGAUCUCUACAGCUGCCCUCAAUAUUUAUAUACGUCUCAUUUUAAAGUCAUGGUGAAACACGAAAAACGUGUAAAUAAACCAACAUCUUUGCAGAGUUUACCUCCUAAGCCGCUCUGGUUAGUGAGCGGCGCCUCAUGGCGGCGAGUCCGGCCUGUGCGGGCCGUGACCUGUGAGCCGCCUCCAGUGCACUAUUUCUGUUCCCUCUGCAUGAACUUUUAAAGAGCCCCUCUUUACUGAUGCCCAGCAGGCAGUGUGGGAAUCAGCUGAAGAUGUCUUCAUGCUGGAGCAAAGGCCACAACCCCCCAGGUUGUUUAACCCCCCUGUUUAACAGGAAACCAGGAAAAUCCUCUCAAAGGUGCAGCUGGACGCAAGAGGAACAGAAACUGCUGCAGAUGAAACAGAUCCCAAGACUUCUGUGACUCCAGAAACAGGAGUCAACCUGAAAUGAGAGCAAUGACAGGAAGCAUGACAGGAAGCAGAGUGACCCCAAUAUCUGCCGUCGGUGCAGAUCCGCCACUCAUCACGGUUUCUGAGAGGCUCAGAACUGGGAGCAGGGGGACUGCCAGCAGAGCUCGCUGAAGGUGCUGUGACCUGCCAAAGAAAGCUGCAGCUUCUCCUUUAACGCGACCUAAAAAAAGCUAAAAUAACUCAAACCCCACAAAGCUGUUGUGGGUGAAGCCAACUCCCCUGUGGGAUGAGCAACAUUUUAGUUUGUCUUUUAUGAGAACAUACAGCAGUUUUGAUCAUCCGUCCUGUUCACAGACACGUAUAAAUAAUCACUUCUUGAUGAAGGUCGGCAUGUUCCAGCCUCAAACAUCACGAGAAUCAGAACUACUAGAAGCUGCCAGAUGAAUCCAACUUUGUUUCUAAUCUUAGCCUGGUUUCUAUUUUAGGUUUGAAUGCUUCGUUGUAGAGAAAGGUGCAUCCUCCUCUCUUCUUGUAACCCAAAUUAUAACAUCAUGAAGUUAACAGUUACACCCUAAUGAAACAGAAUCACUUCCAAUCAUAGAGCACUGAUCACAAUCCGACUCAUUUCCUCAUUUCCUGUUGUGCAUGUCAAGAAAAGCCGUUUUAUUCUUUAUUCUUUAUUAUUUAUCGUUUUGUAUUCAGAAUAUUUAACUUAAUUUUUGACUUCCUAUCGACUAUUGUCUUAGAUUCUGAUCAAACUGUCAUAAGCACAGCCUGGUCCUUGUUCUAACCCAUGGUAUAGAGAUCAGCCAGCUGAGUGUCCUUCCUCUUAACCCCAUCAUUUCU